AACGUAGGUCCCGAGCGUUAUCCGGAUUUACUGGGCGUAAAGGGCGUUCAGGCGGUGGGCUAAGUCAGGCAUGAAAUCUCACGGCUCAACCGAGAGAGGCUGUCUGAGACUGGCACACUUGAGGGCAGUCGAGGGUGGUGGAAUUCCGGGUGUAGUGGUGAAAUGCGUAGAGAUCCGGAGGAACACCAGUGGCGAAGGCGGGUCUCUGGGCCGAUACUGACGCUGAGGAGCGAAAGCGUGGGGAGCGAACAGG
rnacentral:rRNA from 1 species